rnacentral:rRNA from 1 species
GUAGGUGGCAAGCGUUGUCCGGAAUUAUUGGGCGUAAGCGCGCGCAGGCGGUUCUUUAAGUCUGAUGUGAAAGCCCACGGCUCAACCGUGGAGGGUCAUUGGAAACUGGAGAACUUGAGUACAGAAGAGGAAAGCGGAAUUCCACGUGUAGCGGUGAAAUGCGUAGAGAUGUGGAGGAACACCAGUGGCGAAGGCGGCUUUCUGGUCUGUAACUGACGCUGAGGCGCGAAAGCGUGGGGAGCAAACAGGAUUAGAUACCCUGGUAGUCCACGCCGUAAACGAUGAGUGCUAAGUGUUAGGGGGGUUUCCGCCCCCCUUAGUGCUGCAGCUAACGCAUUAAGCACUCCGCCUGGGAUACGGCCGCAAGGCUGA